rnacentral:rRNA from 1 species
GGAAGUAAAAGUCGUAACAAGGUUUCCGUAGGUGAACCUGCGGAAGGAUCAUUACUGAACUGUCGACACGAGUUGUUGCUGGUCCUCGAAAGGGGGCACGUGCACACUCUGUUUACACAUCCACUCACACCUGUGCACCCUUGUAGUUCUAUGGCCUGGGGACUCUGUCCUCUUGCUGUGGUCCUACGCCUUUACACACACACCGUAACAAAGUAUCAUGGAAUGUAUGCCGCGUCUAACGCAAUACAAUACAACUUUCAGCAACGGAUCUCUUGGCUCUCGCAUCGAUGAAGAACGCAGCGAAAUGCGAUAAGUAAUGUGAAUUGCAGAAUUCAGUGAAUCAUCGAAUCUUUGAACGCACCUUGCGCCCUUUGGCUAUUCCGAAGGGCAUGCCUGUUUGAGUAUCAUGAACACCUCAACUCUCAUGGUCUGCCAUGAUGAGCUUGGACUUUGGGGGUCUUGCCGGCGUAACCGUCGGCUCCUCUCAAAUGAAUCAGCUUGCCAGUGUUUGGUGGCGUCACAGGUGUGAUAACUAUCUACGCUUGUGGUCUCCCAUCAGGUUACCUUCAGUAAUGGGGGUUCGCUGGAGCUCACAGACGUCUCUCCUCAGCGAGGACAGCUUUUUAAUGUUUGAUCUCAAAUCAGGUAGGACUACCCGCUGAACUUAAGCAUAUCAAUAAGCGGAGGAAAUC